GACGAACGCUGGCGGCGUGCUUAACACAUGCAAGUCGAACGGAAAGGCCCUGCUUUUGUGGGGUGCUCGAGUGGCGAACGGGUGAGUAACACGUGAGUAACCUGCCCUUGACUUUGGGAUAACUUCAGGAAACUGGGGCUAAUACCGGAUAGGAGCUCCUGCUGCAUGGUGGGGGUUGGAAAGUUUCGGCGGUUGGGGAUGGACUCGCGGCUUAUCAGCUUGUUGGUGGGGUAGUGGCUUACCAAGGCUUUGACGGGUAGCCGGCCUGAGAGGGUGACCGGCCCCCUUGGGAAUGGGGUACGGCCCCGGCUCCUACGGGGGGGAGGCGUGGGGGAUAAUGGCACAUGGGGCGGAGCCUGGUGGCGGCACGGCGGGUGCCGGAUGAACGGCCUCGGGGUGGUAACCGCCUUCGCCUGGUAAGAAGCCUUGGGGGCGGUAAUUGGUAAAGGAGGCACGGCCAACUUCCGU
rnacentral:rRNA from 1 species